rnacentral:rRNA from 1 species
CCAAGUUUUUAAGGGCGCACGGUGGAUGCCUUGGCACCAGGAACCGAUGAAGGACGUGGGAGGCCACGAUAGUCCCCGGGGAGUCGUCAACCAGGCUUUGAUCCGGGGGUUUCCGAAUGGGGAAACCCGGCAGUCGUCAUGGGCUGUCACCUACUGCUGAACACAUAGGCAGUGUGGAGGGAACGAGGGGAAGUGAAACAUCUCAGUACCCUCAGGAAGAGAAAACAACCGUGAUUCCGGGAGUAGUGGCGAGCGAAACCGGAUGAGGCCAAACCGUAUGUGUGUGAUACCCGGCAGGGGUUGCGCAUGCGGGGUUGUGGGAUCUCUCUUUCACAGUCUGCCGACUGUGAGACAAGUAAGAAACCGUCAUGAUAGGCGAAGGGCAUGCGAAAGGCCCGGCGUAGAGGGUAAGACCCCCGUAGCUGAAAUUGUGGCGGCUUGUUUGAGAGACACCCAAGUAGCACGGGGCCCGAGAAAUCCCGUGUGAAUCUGGCGGGACCACCCGUUAAGCCUAAAUAUUCCCUGGUGACCGAUAGCGGAUAGUACCGUGAGGGAAUGGUGAAAAGUACCGCGGGAGCGGAGUGAAAUAGUACCUGAAACCGUGUGCCUACAAGCCGUGGGAGCGUCGGGAUGCGAGUUUACUCGUAUCCUCGUGACUGCGUGCCUUUUGAAGAAUGAGCCUGCGAGUUUGCGGUGUGUUGCGAGGUUAACCCGUGUGGGGAAGCCGUAGCGAAAGCGAGUCCGAACAGGGCGAUUCAGUAGCGCGCUCAAGACCCGAAGCGGAGUGAUCUAGCCCAUGGGCAGGUUGAAGCGGCUGUAAGAGGUCGUGGAGGACCGAACCCACCAGGGUUGAAAACCUGGGGGAUGACCUGUGGUUAGGGGUGAAAGGCCAAUCAAACUCCGUGAUAGCUGGUUCUCCCCGAAAUGCAUUUAGGUGCAGCGUCGUGUGUUUCUUGCCGGAGGUAGAGCACUGGAUAGGCGAUGGGCCCUACCGGGUUACUGACCUUAGCCAAACUCCGAAUGCCGGUAAGUGAGAGCGCGGCAGUGAGACUGUGGGGGAUAAGCUCCAUGGUCGAGAGGGAAACAGCCCAGAGCAUCGACUAAGGCCCCUAAGCGUACGCUAAGUGGGAAAGGAUGUGGAGUCGCAGAGACAACCAGGAGGUUGGCUUAGAAGCAGCCACCCUUGAAAGAGUGCGUAAUAGCUCACUGGUCAAGUGAUUCCGCGCCGACAAUGUAGCGGGGCUCAAGCGUACCGCCGAAGUCGUGUCAAUCCAGCAGAUAGCCCCAACGGGUGCUGGGUUGGGUAGGGGAGCGUCGUGUGCCGGGUGAAGCCGCGCCGGAAGGCAGUGGUGGACGGUUCACGAGUGAGAAUGCAGGCAUGAGUAGCGAUACACACGUGGGAAACGUGUGCGCCGAUUGACUAAGGGUUCCUGGGUCAAGCUGAUCUGCCCAGGGUAAGUCGGGACCUAAGGCGAGGCCGACAGGCGUAGUCGAUGGACAACCGGUUGAUAUUCCGGUACCCGCUUUGAAACGCCCAAUAUCGAAUCCUCUGAUGCUAAGUCCGUGAAGCCGCCCUUGAUCUCUUCGGAGUGAGGGGGAGUGGUGGAGCCGACGACCCGAGGUGGUAGUAGGUAAGCGAUGGGGUGACGCAGGAAGGUAGUCCAGCCCGGGCGGUGGUUGUCCCGGGGUAAGGGUGUAGGCCGUGUGAUAGGCAAAUCCGUCACACAUUAAGGCUGAGACCUGAUGCCGAGCCGAUUGUGGUGAAGUGGAUGAUCCUAUGCUGUCGAGAAAAGCCUCUAGCGAGUUUCAUGGCGGCCCGUACCCUAAACCGACUCAGGUGGUCAGGUAGAGAAUACCGAGGCGUUCGGGUGAACUAUGGUUAAGGAACUCGGCAAAAUGCCCCCGUAACUUCGGGAGAAGGGGGGCCAUGUCUGGUGAUCCAACGUGCUUGGUGAGCUGGGUGUGGCCGCAGAGACCAGCGAGAAGCGACUGUUUACUAAAAACACAGGUCCGUGCGAAGCCGUAAGGCGAUGUAUACGGACUGACGCCUGCCCGGUGCUGGAACGUUAAGGGGACCGGUUAGCCAGGAUUCGUUCUGGCGAAGCUGAGAACUUAAGCGCCAGUAAACGGCGGUGGUAACUAUAACCAUCCUAAGGUAGCGAAUUCCUUGUCGGGUAAGUCCGACCUGC